AAAACCACCCUGGCCAUCGCCUUGACUCUGGCAGAGGUUAGUGGCAGAGGUCCAGGCCCUGGGUUAUGGGAGAGGGAGAGCAUGCGUAUGAAAGGUUGUACUCAGGAGAGAUAUACAGGAGAUUCAUUCAUGAUGAACAGACCUGACAGAAAGCACAAAGGCACGGUGGAAAUUUGAAGAACUUGUCUUGUGAGAGACCCUGGGCCAAGGUACCCAGCCAAGCUGCCUCUGGAAUCCUGAACCACAAAAACUGUGAGAUAAAUAUCUACUUAUGAAGAACAUAUACAGAUUGGAAGAAAAUAUUAUGAUAAAAAAAAAAACUAAUCCUCAUGAGCUGGAUUUCCUGUCUCUCCAACAGAUGUUAUCAGGAUAAUUGCAAACAAAACUCUAUAUAACAAAUGCCAGGUCUCUUCAUCAUGAAUGAGUCUCCUGUAUAAGCCUCCUGAGUACAAGCUUUCAUACACCUACUCUUCCUCUCCCACAAACCAGACGGUCUGGAGGUCUGGAGCUCUGCCACUCCAUUAGCAGCUUCAGCUUAGAACUGGAUUGGAAAUGCCAAGCUUCUGGUGACAUUACAGAUUGCUGGUUGGUGCCUAAUGCUGGCUUAGUUAUAUCCUUGGCAGGUCCCUGGAUGCUAACCAAAUAGCCCAUGAGCUCCAAGUUAAUAAGGUCGAUGUGUUUUGAGUCAAUCUCCAAAAACAAGAACAUUCUGUCUCUUAAAAUUCAAAUUAAAUAAAGCAACUUAA